UAGAGCACUUGCCAAGGUUGACGCUUAAUGUUCUGGACAAGGAGCUCAAGACACUCACAAAACCAAUGCAGUUUGGGGUCAGUUUGGGCAUUCCUCAACACCGACUGGAGGUCAUCCAGCAAGACAAUCGAAAUGAUACUGAAGGUCA